rnacentral:lncRNA from 1 species
GAGGUAGAUGUUAAGACAAGAUCGCCUAGAUAUACUAGACCGUCUAGAAACUAAAGUUUUGAAGUUUAACAAUAAGUAUUAAACGAAAUAUCUUUUCUUAAAGAGAAGUGCCUACUCAACCAGAAGCAUUUAAGUGUUGAAAACAUAAUGUUUUAUACGAGAAACUAAGCAAAUCGUCCAAAUUUAGGCAAAUGUAGCAACAUCGACGCGUCAUUCAUUCUGACGAUCAUCUCACCAAUAAGAAUAUGAAAUUUUUUUGUCUCUCUA